rnacentral:rRNA from 1 species
AACGAACGCUGGCGGCAUGCCUAACACAUGCAAGUCGAGCGAGAUCUUCGGGUCUAGUGGCGCACGGGUGCGUAACGCGUGGGAAUCUGCCCUUUGGUUCGGAAUAACAGUUGGAAACGACUGCUAAUACCGGAUGAUGACGAAAGUCCAAAGAUUUAUCGCCAGAGGAUGAGCCCGCGUAGGAUUAGCUAGUUGGUGUGGUAAAGGCGCACCAAGGCGACGAUCCUUAGCUGGUCUGAGAGGAUGAUCAGCCACACUGGGACUGAGACACGGCCCAGACUCCUACGGGAGGCAGCAGUGGGGAACACUGGACAAUGGGCGAAAGCCUGAUCCAGCAAUGCCGCGUGAGUGAUGAAGGCCUUAGGGUUGUAAAGCUCUUUUACCCGGGAUGAUAAUGACAGUACCGGGAGAAUAAGCUCCGGCUAACUCCGUGCCAGCAGCCGCAGUAA